rnacentral:rRNA from 1 species
GACGAACGCUGGCGGCGUGCUUAACACAUGCAAGUCGAACGGCAAGGCCCUGCUUUUGUGGGGUGCUCGAGUGGCGAACGGGUGAGUAACACGUGAGUAACCUGCCCUUGACUUUGGGAUAACUUCAGGAAACUGGGGCUAAUACCGGAUAGGAGCUCCUGCUGCAUGGAGGGGGUUGGAAAGUUUCGGCGGUCGGGGAUGGACUCGCGGCUUAUCAGCUUGUUGGUGGGGUAGUGGCUUACCAAGGCUUUGACGGGUAGCCGGCCUGUGAGGGUGACCGGCCUCAUGGGGACUGAGAGACGGCCCAGACUCCUACGGGGGGCAGCAGUGGGGAAUAUUGCACAAUGGGCGGAAGCCUGAUGCAGCAACGCCGCGUGCGGGAUGACGGCCUUCUGGUUGUAAACCGCUUUCGCCUGUGACGAAGCGUGAGUGACGGUAAUGGGUAAAGAAGCACCGGCUAACUACGUG